rnacentral:lncRNA from 1 species
ACCUAUUUCAUUAAGCUUCUCUUGAUAUUUCUUCACUUCCAUACUCACAUAAGAGAACAUCAAACCAUAAGAACUCAUAGAAGUAGAGCUUUUUCUAGCUGAAAAUCCUAUGUUUUUAAGUUUGAAUUCAUCUAUAAUCAAGGCUUCUAGCACACCUUAUCUAAGACUGCUGAUCCUUUCACUUCAUAAACCAUAUUGAUUUUGAGGUAAGUUGAAGCUUUCAUUUGCUCAUUAUAAGAACCUAAUUAUGUGUGUUUUAAUGUGAAUUUUGCUAUGUGUUCUCCAUGAUGUUUGAAUGAUUGAUGAGUCAUAGUGAUAUGAAAGAAUAUGUUUUGAAAAUGGGAGUAUGGUACUUGAUUGAUGGUCGAGUAGGCAAGGGACGCGGGAGGAACCGGCGGACCCAACACAUGGUGGCAAAUACCUGAGGUCGAAAGACCAGUAUGGAAAACCCACAAUUAAAGAAAUGAAAUACGGCUAAUACCUGAGGUCGAAAGGCCGGUAUGGAAACCCCCGAAUUAUCUAUUGGCUAAAUAGGAUGAACAAGUUCCGAAAAUCAAAGUCUAUUACUAUCAGUCAAGUACCACACUUCAAGGGUACCCGAUAAAGAGAAGGAUUUCAAAGAAAAGGAUCACGAAUGAAGUUAUAUGUGAUAUUGUACAUAUUGAAUGAAUAACGUGUUAUGUGAUAUAUUGCUAUUACAUCAGUUUCAACUUGCUGAGCCAUUAGCUCAUUAGGUUCUUAUGAUGCAGGUAAUGAUGUACAUGUUUAGAAGUUGACCUAGCCAACAGCGGCCAGACAGAGUUUUGUUCAUAUGCCAUGUUUCGCGCCAUUUUUGUAGCCGAUCUAGAAACUCUGAUUUCAUUUUGUU